rnacentral:lncRNA from 1 species
UCACGCCCGAAAGUCAACGAGGAAUCGGACUGUUUCUGACCGGACUAAACGCUGCAAAACAUUCGGACCCGAAGCUCCCAAAGCGUGUUAGGUAAUUAAAGCAGAUAUAAAAAAUCACUGAAGCCAUUAGCGACGUUAAUGAAGACGGUAUAGAGGUCGUAGGGAAUGUGGGCGCAAUGCUGCAGCCAGCCGACGACAAUGACGCCACUCCGGUUGUCAACAGCGAGCGGGCCAAACAUCAACGUUCGUCAUACGGAGACAAUCGCGAUGGUCCAGGAAACAUGCUGCGUUUGGCGGUUCCGGUUCAUUGCUGCUAUGCAUCAUUACUUUUGCAACCCGGAAAGUCGUGUAGUGUUAUCGUUCAACGUGAUGCAAGACGAACGAUGGUGACCGAACUCCAUUCGAUCAGUGUUUGAAAGAUUGUGGUGACGCGUGUUGCGG